GUCCACGCCGUAACGAUGAUAACUAGCUGUUCGGUUCAUAGAACUUGAGUGGCGCAGCUAACGCAUUAAGUUAUCCGCCUGGGAGUACGGUCGCAAGAUUAACUCAAGGAAUUGACGGGCCGUGCACAAGCGGUGGAGCAUGUUGUUAAUUCGAAGCAACGCGCAGAACCUUACCAGCGUUUGACAUCCCGAUCGCGAUUACCAGAGAUGGUUCUUCAGUUAGGCUGGAUCGGUGACAGGUGCUGCAUGGCUGUCGU
rnacentral:rRNA from 1 species